rnacentral:rRNA from 1 species
CCUACGGGAGGCAGCAGUGGGGGAUAUUGCACAAUGGGGGGAACCCUGAUGCAGCGACGCCGCGUGGGUGAAGAAGCGCCUCGGCGCGUAAAGCCCUGUCAGCAGGGAAGAAAAUGACGGUACCUGAAGAAGAAGCCCCGGCUAACUACGUGCCAGCAGCCGCGGUAAUACGUAGGGGGCAAGCGUUAUCCGGAUUUACUGGGUGUAAAGGGGGCGCAGACGGCGAUGCAAGCCAGGAGUGAAAGCCCGGGGCCCAACCCCGGGACUGCUCUUGGAACUGGGGAUCUAGAGUGUGCGAGAGGUAU